rnacentral:lncRNA from 1 species
UUUCAUUCCUUCCUCCCCCACGCGACCCCCCUUCCUUCUUUCCGUUUUUGCCCCAGGAUAAAAUGCGGCUGGAGAACAGGGAAACCACUGCGGGAGGCAGGAGGUGUGCUUGUUUUUGUGUUUAGAGACAGAUCCUUUCCUGGGCAAACAGCCUAUUUGGGGAAAGCCCUCUGGCCGCGGAGCUGUCCUGUGCCCACUCGGUGGGAGUGCAGGGCUGACCGGUGCUGGGGCCCCAGCAGGCCAGGCCUCUCGGGAGGGGCUAGACUGGGGGCCUGGCGGGCACCGGAGAGGGUUCGGAACGGUGAGAAUCAGAGGCCUCACGACUCUGCCCCCCUUGGGGGGUCCUGGGUGUGAUGGUGCAUCUGUGAGGAGCCUGCAGGCGACAGGGGAGGGGGGCAGUGGUAGCUCGGAGCCGCUGGGCCAGAGGUGUGAGAGGAAGCAGGGCAGCCAGGGGGCCUGGGCCAGGAGCAGGAGUGACAGCGGUGCCCAGGCUCCAGGACAAGCCUCCACUCAGCACCCAGGGCCCGGCGCCCCCCCGAGAGGGGUGACCGGCACCCUCUGUGUGGAUGUGGAAGGGGGCCCUAGUGGCACCCUGGCCUCAGCCACUGAGCUCACCCUGUCCGUCCUCUGCCCUCCCAGAGGAGGCCCCAGGAACCCUCUCUCGGGCCCAGAGCUUCAGAGGGAGACUCACUCGGCACGUGAGUGGGUCAGACUGGAGCGCCUGCCAAAGGGAGGAGGGGGGCUGUGGGUCUGCCAAUCAAAGCCAUGGGCUGGGACGUCUGGGCACAUCCAGGCCACCUAGAGGGUGACAGGAGGAUUCCGUUCCCAGGGAACCCUCAGGCCACAGGGAGGUGCGAGAGGGACCGCGGGUGCAGAGUGGGGGGAGGGGUGCUGGGGGAGUCCAUGCUUGCCGUGCGUGCCCCCGUCACGAACACGGACUCCAUGUGCAUAGGCUCGGUGCCACGUGUGGUCACCACGUGUAAACUGGUCCCCUGCCGGGCUGCCCCACCGGAGGUCCCUCUGCCACAC